AUUGAACGCUAGCGGGAUGCCUUACACAUGCAAGUCGAACGGAGUGGCGAACGGGUGAGUAAUGUAUCGGAACGUGCCCAGUAGCGGGGGCUAACUACGCGAAAGCGUAGCUAAUACCGCAUACUAUAGGAGCGGCAGAUCUCGGAUUAGCUAGGGGGUGGGGUACCGGCUCACGAAGGCGACGAUCCGUAGCUAGUUUGAGAGGACGACCAGCCACACUGGGACUGGGACACGGCCCAGACUCCUACGGGAGGCAGCCGUGGGGAAUUUUGGCCAAUGGGGGAAACCCUGAUCAAGCCAUCCCGCGUGUGCGAUGAAGGCCUUGGAGUUGUAAAGCACGUUUGGCAGGAAAGCGGUACCUGCAGAAUAAGCACCGGCUAACUACGUGCCAGCAGCCGCGGUAAUAC
rnacentral:rRNA from 1 species